ACAUGCCUACAACAUAGCGCUAAUUCAUCAGAUCCCAUUAUAAUUCCACAGUUAAGCACGCUCAGGCUAGAGUAGUAUUGGGAUAGGUGACCGCUUGAGAAGUCCUAGUGUUUUACAUGCU
rfam:Picea glauca, whole genome shotgun sequence.